UUUUUUUCGCUAUCUUUAUUGGUUCCUAAUGUAUAUAUUAUAGAGUGAAGUAAUAAGAUGGAAUUAAAAAUUGAGUUAUAAGGAAAGUAGUCGUGGUUGUGAACCGAUUUCGCCCAUUUCAAGAAAAUAUUAUAUACCGAAUUUUAUUGAAAUCUGUCAAGUCCUGAGGUAUGGUCUUUGACCCAUAAGUAGGAGAUGCCACGCCUACUUGUGUUCCAAGUUUCAUUAAGAUAUCUAAAUUUUUACUCAAGUUAUCGCUUGCACGGACAGACGGACAGACAUCCGGAUUUCAACUCCACUGGUCAUCCUGAUCAUUUAUAUAUAUAUAACUCCAUAUCUAACUCUUUUAUUUCUUGGUGACACAAACAACCGUUAUGUGAACAAAACUAUAAUACUCUCUUUUUAGCAACUUUGUUGCGAGAGUAUAAAAAAACUUGACAACUGUCGGAAGUGUCACUAACAUUUCUUUACUAUUUCCAAAUUUCACAGCUUUUGUCGUAAUCGGCGUUCCCACAGAGCACCUAGUUUAACCCUCCGAUGUUCGGUGCCUUAUGAUGCGUAUUAAUUAUGAAGAGCAAUUGGGUUUACAACUAUAUAGUUGCAUGGAAUGUUCAUUAAGACAUAUGGGACGAUUACAUUUGCUGCAGUUAUAACGAGUUUUACGUCGCUUUUUCGAAGAAGAAGCAGCACAAUGGUAGCACGAUGACCGUUUUGAAGCAACUUGAGCAUAUGAUUGUUGCUGUGUUGCAUCUGAUGUCGAUGGACAAGAUUCCG